CUAAGUGUCUUAAUCACAAAAUGUCUUUAAAUAUAAAAUUGACUGGCUGUAUCGGAAAUUAUUAGUUUCGUCGAUGUUGUUUUAACGAGUUGCUUAAAACCGAUUUUAGAUUAAAGCUGAGAAAUUUCCGUAGGAAAACAAUUAUAAUUAAAAAUGAGUGCUCAAUUCGUCGCGAAUAACUACAACUAUGGCAGUGAUCCGAUAGAAGUAACGUGUUUCCAUUGUAAAAGCGUUGUUGUUACUAGAACCAUUGAGUCAACAAACGCAAUGUGCUGUUUUCUAUUUGGCUGUUGGUCAUUAAUAUGUCCUGGUUGCCAAGACGUUGAACAUCGAUGCCCACAGUGUAACGUCGUACUUGGAACAUAUAAACCAAGUUAAUGUGAACGUAAGAAAGUUGAUUAAAUCAACAAUUUGUUAUAAAUAAAUAGAAUUUAAAUG